rnacentral:rRNA from 1 species
CCUACGGGAGGCUGCAGUGAGGAAUAUUGGUCAAUGGGCGCGAGCCUGAACCAGCCAAGUAGCGUGAAGGAUGACUGCCCUACGGGUUGUAAACUUCUUUUAUAAAGGAAUAAAGUGAGGCACGCGUGCCUUUUUGUAUGUACUUUAUGAAUAAGGAUCGGCUAACUCCGUGCCAGCAGCCGCGGUAAUACGGAGGAUCCGAGCGUUAUCCGGAUUUAUUGGGUUUAAAGGGUGCGUAGAUGGGAUGUUAAGUCAGUUGUGAAAGUUUGCGGCUCAACCGUAAGAUUGCAGUUGAGACUGGCAGCCUUGAGUACAGUAGAGGUAGGCGGAAUUCGUGGUGUAGCGGUGAAAUGCUUAGAUAUCACGAAGAACUCCGAUUGCGAAGGCAGCCUACUAGACUGCCACUGACGUUGAUGCUCGAAAGUGUGGGUAUCAAACAGGAUUAGAUACCCUAGUAGUC